AGCGUACACGGUGGAUGCCCUGGCAGUCAGAGGCGAUGAAGGACGUGCUAAUCUGCGAUAAGCGUCGGUAAGGUGAUAUGAACCGUUAUAACCGGCGAUUUCCGAAUGGGGAAACCCAGUGUGAUUCGUCACACUAUCAUUAACUGAAUCCAUAGGUUAAUGAGGCGAACCGGGGGAACUGAAACAUCUAAGUACCCCGAGGAAAAGAAAUCAACCGAGAUUCCCCCAGUAGCGGCGAGCGAACGGGGAGCAGCCCAGAGCCUGAAUCAGUGUGUGUGUUAGUGGAAGCGUCUGGAAAGGCGCGCGAUACAGGGUGACAGCCCCGUACACAAAAAUGCACAUACUGUGAGCUCGAUGAGUAGGGCGGGACACGUGGUAUCCUGUCUGAAUAUGGGGGGACCAUCCUCCAAGGCUAAAUACUCCUGACUGACCGAUAGUGAACCAGUACCGUGAGGGAAAGGCGAAAAGAACCCCGGCGAGGGGAGUGAAAAAGAACCUGAAACCGUGUACGUACAAGCAGUGGGAGCACAGAGCAAUCUGUGUGACUGCGUACCUUUUGUAUAAUGGGUCAGCGACUUAUAUUCUGUAGCAAGGUUAACCGAAUAGGGGAGCCGAAGGGAAACCGAGUCUUAACUGGGCGUUAAGUUGCAGGGUAUAGACCCGAAACCCGGUGAUCUAGCCAUGGGCAGGUUGAAGGUUGGGUAACACUAACUGGAGGACCGAACCGACUAAUGUUGAAAAAUUAGCGGAUGACUUGUGGCUGGGGGUGAAAGGCCAAUCAAACCGGGAGAUAGCUGGUUCUCCCCGAAAGCUAUUUAGGUAGCGCCUCGUGAAUUCAUCUCCGGGGGUAGAGCACUGUUUCGGCAAGGGGGUCAUCCCGACUUACCAACCCGAUGCAAACUGCGAAUACCGGAGAAUGUUAUCACGGGAGACACACGGCGGGUGCUAACGUCCGUCGUGAAGAGGGAAACAACCCAGACCGCCAGCUAAGGUCCCAAAGUCAUGGUUAAGUGGGAAACGAUGUGGGAAGGCCCAGACAGCCAGGAUGUUGGCUUAGAAGCAGCCAUCAUUUAAAGAAAGCGUAAUAGCUCACUGGUCGAGUCGGCCUGCGCGGAAGAUGUAACGGGGCUAAACCAUGCACCGAAGCUGCGGCAGCGACGCUUAUGCGUUGUUGGGUAGGGGAGCGUUCUGUAAGCCUGCGAAGGUGUGCUGUGAGGCAUGCUGGAGGUAUCAGAAGUGCGAAUGCUGACAUAAGUAACGAUAAAGCGGGUGAAAAGCCCGCUCGCCGGAAGACCAAGGGUUCCUGUCCAACGUUAAUCGGGGCAGGGUGAGUCGACCCCUAAGGCGAGGCCGAAAGGCGUAGUCGAUGGGAAACAGGUUAAUAUUCCUGUACUUGGUGUUACUGCGAAGGGGGGACGGAGAAGGCUAUGUUGGCCGGGCGACGGUUGUCCCGGUUUAAGCGUGUAGGCUGGUUUUCCAGGCAAAUCCGGAAAAUCAAGGCUGAGGCGUGAUGACGAGGCACUACGGUGCUGAAGCAACAAAUGCCCUGCUUCCAGGAAAAGCCUCUAAGCAUCAGGUAACAUCAAAUCGUACCCCAAACCGACACAGGUGGUCAGGUAGAGAAUACCAAGGCGCUUGAGAGAACUCGGGUGAAGGAACUAGGCAAAAUGGUGCCGUAACUUCGGGAGAAGGCACGCUGAUAUGUAGGUGAAGUCCCUCGCGGAUGGAGCUGAAAUCAGUCGAAGAUACCAGCUGGCUGCAACUGUUUAUUAAAAACACAGCACUGUGCAAACACGAAAGUGGACGUAUACGGUGUGACGCCUGCCCGGUGCCGGAAGGUUAAUUGAUGGGGUUAGCGCAAGCGAAGCUCUUGAUCGAAGCCCCGGUAAACGGCGGCCGUAACUAUAACGGUCCUAAGGUAGCGAAAUUCCUUGUCGGGUAAGUUCCGACCUGCACGAAUGGCGUAAUGAUGGCCAGGCUGUCUCCACCCGAGACUCAGUGAAAUUGAACUCGCUGUGAAGAUGCAGUGUACCCGCGGCAAGACGGAAAGACCCCGUGAACCUUUACUAUAGCUUGACACUGAACAUUGAGCCUUGAUGUGUAGGAUAGGUGGGAGGCUUUGAAGUGUGGACGCCAGUCUGCAUGGAGCCGACCUUGAAAUACCACCCUUUAAUGUUUGAUGUUCUAACGUGGACCCGUAAUCCGGGUUGCGGACAGUGUCUGGUGGGUAGUUUGACUGGGGCGGUCUCCUCCUAAAGAGUAACGGAGGAGCACGAAGGUUGGCUAAUCCUGGUCGGACAUCAGGAGGUUAGUGCAAUGGCAUAAGCCAGCUUGACUGCGAGCGUGACGGCGCGAGCAGGUGCGAAAGCAGGUCAUAGUGAUCCGGUGGUUCUGAAUGGAAGGGCCAUCGCUCAACGGAUAAAAGGUACUCCGGGGAUAACAGGCUGAUACCGCCCAAGAGUUCAUAUCGACGGCGGUGUUUGGCACCUCGAUGUCGGCUCAUCACAUCCUGGGGCUGAAGUAGGUCCCAAGGGUAUGGCUGUUCGCCAUUUAAAGUGGUACGCGAGCUGGGUUUAGAACGUCGUGAGACAGUUCGGUCCCUAUCUGCCGUGGGCGCUGGAGAAUUGAGGGGGGCUGCUCCUAGUACGAGAGGACCGGAGUGGACGCAUCACUGGUGUUCGGGUUGUCAUGCCAAUGGCACUGCCCGGUAGCUAAAUGCGGAAGAGAUAAGUGCUGAAAGCAUCUAAGCACGAAACUUGCCCCGAGAUGAGUUCUCCCUGACUCCUUGA
rnacentral:rRNA from 1 species